CUCUUGUGAUGUUAUUAAAGUAGUCUAUUCCUCCUUCACGGUGUAAUGGUGACAGUGUGUGCAUCGUGUAGUACUUGGCGUAGGUUAUGAUCAUAAUCUCUUGUAGGUUAUGAAGUUAAUUAUUACUAUGAUAGUAUUGAUGUGA